GGCCUAGAUGCUCUUUCAACACCGGAGCUCGGAUCCGGCGAAUCGAGCGGCGCGGCCAGGGGCGCGCACUCGGUCACUGAGUCACUGGGGCCUCGCUGCACUUCGCCUCGCCGUCGUCGCCGGCCGCUCAAGCUUCCCUGUGCCUGUCCGUGCUUCCUCCCCUAGCGGUUCCUCAAGUCGCUGCCUGCUCACGUUUCCCCGAGCCAGCGGUCAAAGGUCGCAGCACUUGAUUCACCGCUCUCACCGGAGCUCGUCCACGACGCCGGUGAAGCCCUCCGACGGCCUCCCUGCCCCUUCACUGCGGACGCCCCUGCCCUGCACCGUCCUGACCUGCUACACCUGGACCUGCUCUUGACAACACUAGGCCUCUGUAUGACACCUUAGAGGAGGUUAUUGGGAUCAGGGGGUUGGCCAAUGUAGGCUAACUCAAGGAUUUCGGAGCGACGUACGGAGAAGUUUCGGUUCAGGUUGCAUCUGAAUCAUCACUUAACCAAUGCAAAAUUCAGUUGCCAUAGUACUUCCCGGAUCAAGAAACCUUGCGAUUCCUGCAAAAGAUACUUGGACCAUUUGGAUGGAUAAAAUCAAAAUGUCAAACCCAAGAAUUUAGGACUCCAAGAUUGCUGCCACUAUCCGGAAGAUCUUGCGGAAUCAUUUUCUACAAGUUAAUACUCCCUAUGCACUCAUCAAUGUGUUGGUCUAUCCUAUGCCAGUGUCAUCUCUGAUAAGAUUUACUUUUACAAGCCAUGCAUGCUAUUUUUGUGCUGCUACUUUUAUAUGCUAACAAAAUGUUUGAGGCAUAUCUGCUGGAUAUUCAAAUAUUACAAACCAAGUGUCAUAACUUGGUUUGUAAACAACUUUCAUACUUGGAAUACAAUAGUAUAGUUCUUUAUUGAAAUAGUUCUGCUCUUCUCCAAAAUAACCAUAAGGCGCAAAGAAAAAAAGAUCUGAUUAUUCCACAUUUUAAUAGCAAAUGGUUAAACUCCUGUAACUGAGACUACGUUGAUGCUUCAGUAGCCUGUACAAGGAUAUUAAUCUCCAUCCAAAAUACUCUGCAAGUCACUUCUUUGCAGUACUUGUAGUUCACCUAUCACUAUUGUAAGGUUUGAUUUGUUUGGCUCGCCUUUAUAGAUUGAUGAUUAUGCAUUGAAUUUUAUGUGUGGUGGUUAUAUGACAAAAGAUGUAUUUUAUACUCAAAUAUUUAGGACAAUAUUUUAAUAUGCUAAGAUUGUGAAAUAGUUAGGGCAGUGUUUUAAUUUCCUAGGGUAGACUAGGAAUAGAGCAUUAGCUGUCCUAGAAUCCUUUUUUCCCAUGUACCUGCUAUACUGUUCAGGUGUCUCUGCAAGAGUUGUUUGGCGAGAGAUCAUUAUCUAAGAUCGCCAAGUAAAAGAGAUCAGAACUAUGACAUA